GGCUGGAGUCUGCUACUCAUGUCUGAAUAUGGCUAAAGGAGUGACUUGGCUUUUCUAGGCUCCAGUUCUUUAAAUACUAAAUAAGAGCAACAUAGUGGACAACUAGAUAUCUAACCACGUAACUUGGUGACUUGGAAGUUCUUGUGUCUAUGCUUCAUGGAUGGGAAUAGCCCUACGACAGACACAGCAGGAAGACCUGGGAUGAGUGGAGUGAUCAAACACCAAGGCAGGGACAAGGGAUCUUCAUGAAAGAGGGGACUCCUGCAUGUCUCAGUGUUCAAAACUAGCAUCAUGGCAGAGGAACAUCGGCUUCUUCAUGGUGCUUCCAGCAGGUGAGCCUCUGUGAAUAAUUAUCUAGAUUAACUGAGUUGGGAACACCUAGCCUAAGGAGAAUGGCACCAUUUCCAAGCCUUGAUUGCUGGAUUGCUGGAUUGCUGGAUUGCUGGAUUGCUGGAUUGCUGAAUUGCACAAAAUGGAAGAAACCAUCUCAAGAACAUCGUCAUGGAAUGUUUUCUUUAGGCUGACCAGUUUGCUGGAAUAAUCUACUUAAAGU
rnacentral:lncRNA from 1 species